ACCGUUUUCCGGAGACUGUUAGAGGAAGAGUCGCUUUUUCCUGCCUCCCAGGCUGCCCAGCGGCGCCGGUUGCCGGGGAACGCAGGCGCCGUGGGGAGGGAUGGCGGGAGGAUACUGCUUAGGUGCUGGAGACGGAGUUGAGCUGGUGAAGAAGAGCUCGGGCUCAUCAUGAAACAACGAAAAGGCCAAGGGUCUGGGGGCAGCCGUGGGCGCAAAAAAAGAGGUUUAAGUGACAUUUCUCCAUCUACAAGCCUGCCACCUCUGGUUGAAGGCCAGCUACGCUGCUUUCUAAAACUUACUGUUAAUAGAGUCAUAUGGAAGAUUGCAAAGCCUCCCACUUGUGUACUUGUCCGAGUGAGAUGGUGGGGAGAAACAUCAGAUGGAACCCUCUUUUGUCCCAGGGAUGCAUUGCAGACUGAACCAAAAGCUGUGAGAACAACUACACGUUAUGCUAUUCGUUGUGGUCCAAAACAGUUUACCUCUUAUCUAACAGAUAUGGCUGUGCUGGUGCUGGAAGUAAUCACCAAACUUGACGGUCUUCCAAUUGGUAGAGUUCAGAUCAAUGGACUAGCUCAACUUUCUCCAACCCAUCAAAUCAAUGGAUUUUUUACCAUUGUUUCAUCAACGUCUAAGAAACUUGGAGAACUCCAGGUCUCACUUGCCCUGGAACCUCUGUCAGAAACUUACGACAGCUACCAUCCACUUCCUACCACUGACGUGACAGAAAAUGUGCUUUUAUCUAAGCAGGGAUUCAGAGAGAAUACUGAACCCAGCAGUACCCAGUUUCAGGUUCCAUCAAGGCCUCACGACAUACAUACCAUCAAAAUUGAUGGAAAAGAGUUAGCAGCCAACAGCAGUAGAUCAACCACUCCGAGGGGAAAAGACCAUGUAUACUUUGCAGAGAACCCUGAUACAAUAAAGGAUUCUUCCUUUGGACUACAGCACAGUCUUAAUUCAGGACAGAGUUUAGAGUCUGUAACUCUGAAAGGCAGAGCUCCACGGAAGCAGAUGUCCCUUCUGAACAGUUCUGAAUUCCAGCCUCAAAUUAGAACAGUUGCCAAGAGUCACAGUGACUCAUGCAUUCUUUCUUCAAACAACCUCCCUACCAAGGACCUUCUUUCAGCUCUGUUAGAACAAGGCAAUAAACUGCGUAAUGCCAUGGUGAUUUCUGCAAUGAAAUCAAGCCCAGAGACCAGCAUGUUGUUGGACCAAGUUCAUCUUCCUAUUAAUGAAGAUUCUCUUAGAGCAUCAACACAGAUCAGAGCCUUUUCUAGGAAUCAGUUUAAAGACCACAUUGAAGAUCACCUCCUCCCUUCAACUGAGAAUACAUUUUGGAGACAUGACACAAAAGCUGAUACCAGAGCUAUACAGCUGCUAUUAGGCAGUGCUGAAUUAUCCCAAGGCAAUUUCUGGGAUGGGCUAGGCUCUCCUCCAGAUUCCCCAUCUCCUGGGAGUGAUGUGUAUUGCAUCAGUGAGCUGAAUGACCCUCAGUAUGACCAGAGUCUUCUGGAGAACUUAUUUUAUACAGCACCUAAAUCUGAUACCAGCAUCAGUGAUUUCCUCAGUGAAGAGGAUGAUAUCGUCCCUUCUAAAAAAAUAAGCCAGUCAACAGCUCUUGCCAGAUCAUCUAAGGUUCUGGAGUCAAGUGAUCAUAAGCUGAAGAAGAGGUCAGCAGGCAAGAGAAAUAGAAAUUUGGUUGAACAACAGAUGCUCUCAGAAACUCCAGAAGAUGCCCAAACGAUGACACUAAGUGUGGAUAGACUGGCCCUUUUGGGUAGAACACAUUCAGUCAGAAUCAUCAUCGAAACCAUGGGAGUUCCUCCAGAUAGUCCUCAGAUGACCCCUGGCAAAAAAAGCUAUGCUGGUCCACCACCUAAGGUGACUACAGCAAAAAAGCGCACUUUCUUUGUAGAAUAUCACUUUCCUGUGGGCUUUUCGGAAAGCGGAUUGGGAAAGACAGCUUUGAUCACUGAGGUUGUUCGACUCGCCUCCAGUAAAAUUACAGAUGGAAAGGUGAAGUUCCAGCAGCGAUUUGUGUUUCCAGUACAGUUUGGUGGCCCAAUGAUAGAGCACUGGUGGAAUUCCAACCUCACUUUCAAAAUUUAUGUAAAGAAAACUCCACAGAAAAAGCCAGAAGUCAUUGGAUCUGCGUCACUUUCUUUGCGAGCUGUCAUUCAAUCAGAGCUGCUUUCUUUCAGUGAUCAGCUUCCAGUGCAACAAGAAAAUGGUCAGUCUCCAUUUGGCCCCCUCAAGGUAACCAUGGAGCUUAUUACAGAUAACAAAGAUUUCACUGGUAUCAAUACUAAGUUAAGUGGCAACACCCAUUAUACCCCACUUUGUGCUCCUACAAGUCCAAAUAAGGCACUACCAGAACUUAACCAAGAUAUGACCUGUACCAAAAAUCCACAAAACUUAAAUCAAAUUCAUGAGGAAACUGCAAAGAAAGCACAGAACUUGGUGCUCCCCAACCGAAAGUCACCAAGCCCUGUAGCACCACAUCCUUCAACCUUCGUAGCUACGCCAGCCUCCCAUAAUUUAGUCAAUCAGACAAAUGGGACAACAAAAGAGAGUGCUUUGCUGUUGCAUGUGCUGUUGAUGGUGCCAGAUGGGAAAGAUUUUAUUAGUGGAGAAUCUGAGAAACAAUCACCAUGCAAUGUUUAUUUAAAUUGUAAACUCUUCAGCACAGAGGAAGUCACCAGAUCUGUCAUCGCAUGGGGCACAACACAGCCGGUCUUUAACUUUUCUCAGGUGAUUCCUGUCUCUCUGUCUUCCAAAUACCUGGAAAGGCUUAAGAACAAUGUGAUGGUAAUUGAAACUUGGAAUAAGGUGCGGAGCCCAGGACAGGACAAGCUGCUCGGGCUGGUGAAACUUCCCCUCCACCAGUUUUACAUGUCAUUCAAAGAUGCUAAGAUUUCUCGCCUGCUGCUGGAUGCCCAGUACCCAGUUGUUGCUGUCGACAGCUAUAUGCCUGUGAUUGAUGUGUUUUCAGGCCACCAAAAUGGGAGUCUUCGAGUCUUUUUAGCUAUGGGUUCUUCAAAUCAAAUAAUGGCACUACAAAGAUUAAAGAAUGAAGAAGGAACACUCCCUCCCUUCAGCCCUAGGCCAGCCCAUUUCCUGGACCAGCCAACUGCAGCAUCUGUUGCUAUGGCAGAGGACCGAGGAAAUGGACUGAUGGAGCACUGCUUUGAGAUCCAUAUAGAGAUGGUUAAAGGGCUAGCCCCUCUUCAGGCAACAGUCUGGGGAGAAGCAGAUUGUUAUGUCCAGUACUACUUUCCAGUUCAACACUCUCAAUCCAGUGUGCUGAAAGGACCUGAGUUCCUUGAAAAUGGAAUUACUCUGAAGCCCUUCAGAACUGCAACCACACUCUGUGUUCCGGAUCCCAUCUUUAAUAGUGAACACCAUCACUCUCUCCUGUUGCCAGCUGAGGUUCCAGUGCAAAGGCUCCUACUAAGUGCCUUCUCUGCACAGGGCCUCAUGCCUGGAGGUGGAGUCCAGUUUGAAAUCUGGUGCAGAUACUAUUAUCCUAAUGUGAGAGACCAGAAGGUCGCCAAAGGAACCUUGCCAUUAUCAAGGAUCUGUGCUAUGGUAACCACCCAGCAUCGUGAGGAUGUGGGAAUACAGACCUUUAAUCUCCUUUUAACCCCCAGGAUUGAGAACAGGAAAGAAUUGAGGAACCAGUCAUCAGGUUUACUGGAUGUGGGCCUAAGGUACAGGCGUAGUCCAAGAACAGCAGAGGGAGUUCUUGCUGCCCGAACUGUUUCCAUCUCAGUCCAGAUUAUCAGAGCCUGUGGUCUGCAAGCAGCAGCCAAGGCUUUGGCUGAACAGGAACCCGCUCUACAGUUUAGUGCCACAGUCGGGGUCAAUGCCUCUGUCACCACUCAUCUCUCCUUCCUGCCCCAGGGAGAACAGCGCCGAACCCACCCUGUGGCCUGUUCUUUCUGCCCUGAGUUCUCCCAUCAUGUUGAGUUCACAUGUAACUUGGUGACUCAGCACUGUAGUGGAGAGGCCUGUUUCCUAGCAGAGUUGUUGGAGUUUGCAGAAGUUAUUUUUGCUGUCUAUCAUGAAAAUACCAAGUCAGCAAGUGAUAUAAUCAGUAUUGAGUCAUGCAAAGAGUAUCUGCUUGGAGUAGUAAAAGUUCCAACAAAAGAGCUGCUGAUCAAGAGAUCUGGGAUCACAGGAUGGUAUCCUAUCAUUUUACCAGAAGACGGGGGCCUACCUCAUGGCCUGGAGCUCAUGCAGAAGAUUGUGGGUGGUCUGGAGCUUUCGGUUUCCUUCACGCAUCGUGGAGAUAGAGAACGGGUGUUGGAAGCUGCUGAGCAUUUGGGCUGGAGCUUUGAGAACAGCCUGAAAGAUUUUGUCAGAAUGGAUGAAGGGGAGCCAGCCACUGUCACCAUCUCCACCCCAAGGCUGUGGCUGCCCAUCCAUUGUGUGCUGCUUGCUGGCCACAACCACAUUCAUAAGAAUACAUAUUGCUACCUUCGCUACAAGUUCUAUGGUCAUGAAGCCUUUUGGACCCCUCUCAAGAAGCCUAAGGAAUCUGUUAACAAAAAGCAGAUUAUGGUCACUUUCAAGGCAUCCAAAAGAGCAGAAGUCACCAGGGGCCCAUCACUGCUUUGGUACUUCAGGGAGGAGAGGCUAGAGAUCCAAGUGUGGCGAGCUUAUGGCAAUGACAGUGUGGAGAGACCCCAUCAGACAGACAGCUGGAUUGGCUCAGCCUAUGUGGACCUGGCCAGACUUGGGGAGAGGUCAGCGAGGACGCUAACUGUCAGUGGUGUGUAUCCUCUGUUUGGACGAAAUGCUUCCAACCUCUCAGGAGCUGCCUUGCGAGUUCAUGUGGUUCUUUCCUCUCUUUCCUCACACCUUGAGCCCACUCAUGAGCUGGACUCCAUGGACUGCAGCAGCCACAGUGAGUCUGAGCAGCUCCCCAGAAGGAAUGAUGAGGUCCAGCUCUCUCCACCAGAAGUCAUCUCCUGCCACCAGAAGUCUCCUGCCUCCACCCAGGUCCCCUGCAGCAGCACCACAGCUGAAGUCUGCCUGACCCAGGAGGGCCCUGCUGAUUUGGAUGGAACGUUUGCAGUCAGCAUCCUAGUAGAAAGAGCAAUGCACUUGAGCUUGAAAGGGAGCCCCUUGACAGAGCGGAAAGUAUCGAUACCCAGUUGUUGUGUAUCCUUUGCAACAGCCGAUGAGUCAUCUCCUGUAUACACCCAAGUGGUUGAAAACACAGAUUCCCCCAUCUGGAAUUUUCAACAGCAGUCAAGGCUAUCAAAAGAGCUGCUUCUGGACCCACAACAAACCCUGGUCUUCAAAGUUUGGCAUAAAGGAGAUGAGGAGAGGGUGAUUGGCUUUGCCUCGGUGGACCUCUCCCCACUUCUCUCUGGCUUCCAGUUUGUCUGUGGCUGGUACAACAUCACAGACUUCAGUGGAGAGUGCCAGGGUCAGAUAAAAGUUGCUGUCUCCCCUUUGGAGAGUUUGAUACACUUCAAAGAAGAAAGGCAAGCAAGGCGUGGAGUGGAGACCUCAAAAUCACUGAUCCCAAUAUACAGUCCCUUUUCCUUCCCUGCCUCUGAUAUGUGUGCUGCAUUCUCCAGCCACAUGGCAAGGCAGACCCUAGACCAACUUGCUCAUGCCUCCUCAAAGGAGCUUGAUUUCUCCUCUCCUGGGAGAAGUGAUACCACAAGAAGCCAAGCAUCACGCCAUGAAGAGCAUGUGCAGAACAUUCGCCGGUUUCAUGAAUCCCUGCAUCUUCAGGGAGAGGCACCCUUGCCAUGUGAUGACAAACCGACCACAUCACCUUUGUCCUCCCAAACCUCCAUUCUGACUUCUCUCAGGAAGAAUCUGAGUGAGCUUGAUCAGAUUCAGAGGUACUUCAGCCAGAAGCUCACCAAGCCUUUCCUACCCCUCAGCCCUCAGACUCAAACGGCCAUCUCACAGCACCAGGAGAGCUGUAGGGACCAUCUUGGGCCAGGUGCCAGCAGCCUAGACCCUGGGAGCCAGUGUAUCCUGGAGAAAUCCAGUAACCUGGUGUUGCAAGUCAGCUCCUUAAUCACAGAUCUGCAGACUAUCACCAGGGAUUCGCAAGCAGCUUUGAGUUCUCACCGAGCCAGGAGUAGAAGCAACAAGGCCACCACCCUCCCAGAUGCUCAGGACACAGAAGCACUGCAAGAACGAUGCACAAUGCCAGAUGAGCCAUUGGCAAGAGCUCCAGAUAAAGGCACAGAUUCCCCACCACCCCCUCCUCUCGAAGAGACUUCAAAUGGAGGAAGAAUGCUCCAUGAGUCCCUGAGGCAUGCAGUACCCAUUACAAGGAUGCAGAGCAGUGAAGACACUGAGGCAGGCCCAGCCUACAGUGAUGAGGACUAUGAAGAAGACAUCAUUGAGCCCAGGACCUUAAAUGAGAUCACCACGGUGACAGACAAAACUAGCCCUUGGUCUAGUGUCAUAUCAGACACUAGUGAGGUCAUCAGCCCUCAGCCUGACAAGGUGCAGAGGGAAGGCCCCUCUUGUCCUUCUCCAGGGCCUUUCUGCAGAGAGGAGCUUAUGGUCAAAAGUAGCUUUCUCUCCAGCCCAGAAAGGGCUGUCAACCCCCACCUGCCUAGGCAGGGUUCUCCUAGCCAAAGUCUUGUUGCUUGUGAGUGUGAGGCCUCUAAGGCCAGGGUUGGUGGCGAGUCUGCCUCAGCCAACCCUCAGCCCAUCCCAUGCCCAACACUCUCAGGAGCUCAACAGAGCAGCACGUUUGUUGGAUGGAGCUCACCACAGACAGAUCAGAACAAGGAGCCCAAGUCAGAGGCCCCAGCUGAGAAUGAAGCUGCCACCAGUGAGCUCGGUGACUCUGCUGAUAGCUUCAAGAAGUUGCCGCUAAAUCUAGCCUCCCAGAGCAGAAGGGAAAACCAUAAGGGACCACCCAUCGACUCCUCUGACAUCAGGCAGAGGCAGGUGACAACUGGAUCAGAGACGUCCACAAAGCAGAGCCUCCUGCUCCCAGGGCCCAUUGUGGUGCCCAACUUCUUUUUGCCUCCCCAGCAGUUGGAGGCUUCCCUGCGGAUGCUUUCACUCUCAGCAACUUUGCCACCAGCAGCCACAACAGAUCAGGUCUACAGCCAGAAGUGUGGGAGUAUUUCAGAGGAAUGGAUGAUACAUUUGAGGGUAUCCCUGCUCUGGCCAAUUUCGCCUCUGGCCAACCCUACCAGGGUUGUGUGUUAGGGUAGCAGUCCUGAUGAAGGAAGAAUCUUCACUACUAGUCAAGAUGGUUUCUAAACCCUAUUGAGGUCAACAAAAGCAAAAUGCUGCUGAGUGACAAGAGCGAAGCCACCAGGGGAGCUCUCUCCCAAAGGCCUUGUCGCCCCAGACCUAACUCGCUCCCCCCCAACCUGCCUGAGGAAGAAACCCGCAGGAUUGCACGGAUAUUUUCUUCUCAGUACUCCCAGAAAGACUGACGCAGCCUGAGGGGCUGGGGGGAAGGAGACACCUGCCCACCCUCCCUCAGCUUUGUCCAGCUUGCAGGAGGCACCAGGUCUGGCUCCUUCAGGGCUGUCACAGUCCUGAAACCACCACUUGCCUAGGCCACGGAUGCCUCAAGAGACCUGGUCAGCCCAGACUGGAGGAGUGCCCCAAACCAGUCCAGUGUCCACUUGACAAAAUUUCAGCUCCUUUUUUCUGUGGUGAGGCAAAGGCUAGAAAUAAAAUGGAAUCCGCGCCCAAGUGGGACCCAAGCAGGCAUCUUUCAGUGGAGAAACGCCUCCCAGUGUCCUUGACACAGCUGACUGCUGGCAUGAGCCCACCCUCUGCCUGAAGAUGCGGGACCAUUUUUGCCUUAAAAGUUGGGGAGGAGGGACAUGUAGAUUGUGUGCAUUGUGCAUAGUCAAGGAAAUCCUAGGGCCACCUCCAGUUCAUUUGUGUGGGAACAAGGAUAUUUUAUAGAUACAAAUUAUUUUUAUGCUGUGUUGAAUUAAUCAAUUAGGAGAGGAAGGGGAAAUCACCUCCUUCAAACUUUUUAUCUGAUUGUCUAAAAUUCUAACCAUGCUUUUAACUUAUUAUUUUUACCCAGCUCUGAAGGUCAUUGUUCUUGCCUGUGUUUGAAUAAAAUCAUAUUGGUGUUUGUAA